ACAGGGUUACAAUGACAAUAGACGAUGAUGAUGACAGCAGCGAUAGCAAUGACAACAACUGUGGGAUGAGAUGUAGUGAAGGAGGAUAUUUUAGUCCAUCUCUAUAAUAUGCAUGUAUAAGAAGAAAUAAUGGCGACGACGCAAGAAGAAAAAGUCAUUGAACUGCUGUUUAAGAAAUAUAUAAGGCUCACUUACAUUUCUGCCUUCAUUUUAAAGGGUUGUCCUAAAUGAGUUGGGCCUAGGGCUGGCCCAAAAGGGACCAAGGACCCUAAACUGCCCUAACCCUACUCAUUCUUCUCACUUUCAGAAAACAGUCUUCCAUUUCCUUAGAGUUGCGGUCGUUCCUCUGCUAGGGUUUGAUCUCUGCUAAUGUCAAGUUUGCUCAAGCUUGUUCUACUUCACUAUUUCCAGCUCUUAAAUUUGCUCUUGGAGCUGCUCCGGUUAUGGGCUUAGUGUUGAAGUAGUUUGCUAGCUCUUUUCAGAUGUGAGAACUUCCCGUGAUCAUUAGGGUGAUAGAGGUUCCGCUGCAUAGUCUGUUUGGACUGCAUUUCCGUUUAUUUGGGCUUUUCUCUAGGGCUAUGGCCCAUGUAGUGUCUUGCUUCUGGGUUAUAUUUUAAAUUACUAUUGACCCUUUUCUUCGCUUGUCUAUUGGCAUCAUGGUGUGUCCUAGUUCAAUUAUGUUUU